UGAGUAACACGUGGGUAACCUGCCCAUAAGACUGGGAUAACUCCGGGAAACCGGGGCUAAUACCGGAUAACAUUUUGAACUGCAUGGUUCGAAAUUGAAAGGCGGCUUCGGCUGUCACUUAUGGAUGGACCCGCGUCGCAUUAGCUAGUUGGUGAGGUAACGGCUCACCAAGGCAACGAUGCGUAGCCGACCUGAGAGGGUGAUCGGCCACACUGGGACUGAGACACGGCCCAGACUCCUACGGGAGGCAGCAGUAGGGAAUCUUCCGCAAUGGACGAAAGUCUGACGGAGCAACGCCGCGUGAGUGAUGAAGGCUUUCGGGUCGUAAAACUCUGUUGUUAGGGAAGAACAAGUGCUAGUUGAAUAAGCUGGCACCUUGACGGUACCUAACCAGAAAGCCACGGCUAACUACGUGCCAGCAGCCGCGGUAAUACGUAGGUGGCAAGCGUUAUCCGGAAUUAUUGGGCGUAGAGCGCGCGCAGGUGGUUUCUUAAGUCUGAUGUGAAAGCCCACGGCUCAACCGUGGAGGGUCAUUGGAAACUGGGAGACUUGAGUGCAGAAGAGGAAAGUGGAAUUCCAUGUGUAGCGGUGAAAUGCGUAGAGAUAUGGAGGAACACCAGUGGCGAAGGCGACUUUCUGGUCUGUAACUGACACUGAGGCGCGAAAGCGUGAGGAGCAAACGGGAUUAGAUACCCUGGUAGUCCACGCCGUAUACGAUGAGUGCUAAGUGUUAGAGGGUUUCCGCUCUUUAGUGCUGAAGUUAACGCAUUAAGCACUCCGCCUGGGGGAGUACGGCCGCAAGGCUGAUAACACAAAGGAAUUGACGGGCGCCCGCACAAGCGGGGAAGCAUGUGGAUUAAAUUCGAAGCCACGCGAAGAACCUUACCAGGUCUUGACAUCCUCUGAAAACCCUUGGAGAUAGGGCUUCUCC
rnacentral:rRNA from 1 species